AUGUCAGACUCCUUGGUCCGUGUUUCAAGACGGGUCGGAUGGGGAGCCCGCAGGCCGUUGCGGCGCAGCGCCCCGAGGGGCGCGCCAGAGGCGCGCGGUGACCGGCUGCGCCGACGACGGCUGCCGGGGGCGCGGAGCCCCCGGGCUUUGGCCGCCGGCGCGGCCGACAACAGUCCACGCCCCGAGCCGAUCGGCGGACCAGCCGAAGCCGUUCCGCAUACGGCCGGGGCGCAUCGCCGGCCCCCAUCCGCUUCCCUCCCGGCAAUUUCAAGCACUCUUUGACUCUCUUUUCAAAGUCCUUUUCAUCUUUCCCUCGCGGUACUUGUUCGCUAUCGGUCUCUCGCCUGUAUUUAGCCUUGGACGGAGUUUACCGCCCGAUUUGGGCUGCAUUCCCAAACAACCCGACUCGUUGACGGCGCCUCGUGGGGCGACAGGGUCCGGGCCGGACGGGGCUCUCACCCUCCCAGGCGCCCCUUUCCAGGGGACUUGGGCCCGGUCCGUCGCUGAGGACGCCUCUCCAGACUACAAUUCGGACGGCGCGGCCGCCCGAUUCUCAAGCUGGGCAUCUCCCGGUUCGCUCGCCGUUACUAGGGGAAUCCUCGUAAGUUUCUUCUCCUCCGCUUAUUUAUAUGCUUAAACUCAGCGGGUAGUCCCGCCUGACCUGGGGUCGCGGUCCGAGGCGUUCGCUCUCGGUGCGUUUGGGUCCUGAGGGGCCACCGCGCCGGCCGCGCGCCGGGGUGCACUGCGGCCUAGAGCCAGCGUGAGCUGUCCACCAUGCGCUGUGCCCGGCACGCUUCGCCGGCAGCCCGAGCUUCGGCCCACCGCGCCGCGAGGCGCGGGGGGCCAGACACCGCGUCCCCGCGCCCUCCCGGAUAGGGGGGGCGCGCGGAGCGUCUUUUGGCGUGACGCCCAGGCAGGCGUGCCCUCGGCCGGAUGGCCUCGGGCGCAACUUGCGUUCAAAGACUCGAUGGUUCACGGGAUUCUGCAAUUCACACCAGGUAUCGCAUUUCGCUACGUUCUUCAUCGAUGCGAGAGCCGAGAUAUCCGUUGCCGAGAGUCGUGUGGAUUUAACUCGUGGUAUCGCGCCGCGCCGCCGGACGGCCAGGGCCGACCGGGCCGGCGCGGGGCGUAUCGCUGUGUUCCUUGACGCCGUCGGCGCCGUGGGUUCUGUUGCGGCCCGGGGGCCUCGGUUGCCUCGCGCGCGAGCGCUCGGCGGGCAGGGGUGACGCGUUCGCGGUCUGUUUUGGUCAGGG